UUUCCCAAUGUGUAGGAGUCGCUCAACCACUUUCUGGCUCUCAGAGAGAAUUGAUCCAUGUGGAAAUGUUUAUUCUCUGCAUCUGUGGGAGAGAGAAAAGUAAGGAACCUCCUAUUCCACCAUGUUGCUGACAUCAGUCUCUACAAAUUCUGCUUCCAAAGGCAAGGAGGACCCAGCAGAGUUUAGAGAUUUACUCUCCAACUUUCUCCAGUUACUGUAUGUUUCAAAGAGUGAACCUCCAAAGAGUGAAUCAAUGGGCUUGCUUGCUCUCUGGCUUCCAGGUGAAUUCAGCCAGUGGAACCAUGGCAGGAGAUCAGAGGGAGGAAAUACAAUGAGAUCAAGGAAUGUAUUUCCAUGGUUUCUUCCCUGCAGCAUCACAGCAGUGGGCAUGUACCUUUCCCAGACCUCUUACCUCUUAUUACACUACUCUCUCCAUAGAGCUCUCUUUUACCUAGGUCUCCAAUAACCAUUCCUUCUCCUUUCCUCUUCAAGGUUAGGGGUAGUAACAUUAUCCCACUUUUUCUGCCUCGAGAUUAUUAAAGUUUUCCUUAUGUUUUUGCUGGACACCCCUCCUUUGUAAAGAGUAUGUCACUUUAUUAAACUCAAAUGAAACCCAA